rnacentral:rRNA from 1 species
AGUGAACGCUGGCGGUAGGCCUAACACAUGCAAGUCGAACGGCAGCACAGUAAGAGCUUGCUCUUACGGGUGGCGAGUGGCGGACGGGUGAGGAAUACAUCGGAAUCUACUUUUUCGUGGGGGAUAACGUAGGGAAACUUACGCUAAUACCGCAUACGACCUACGGGUGAAAGCAGGGGAUCUUCGGACCUUGCGCGAUUGAAUGAGCCGAUGUCGGAUUAGCUAGUUGGCGGGGUAAAGGCCCACCAAGGCGACGAUCCGUAGCUGGUCUGAGGGGAUGAUCAGCCACACUGGAACUGAGACACGGUCCAGACUCCUACGGGAGGCAGCAGUGGGGAAUAUUGGACAAUGGGCGCAAGCCUGAUCCAGCCAUACCGCGUGGGUGAAGAAGGCCUUCGGGUUGUAAAGCCCUUUUGUUGGGAAAGAAAAGCAGCAGGUUAAUACCGCGCUGUUCUGACGGUACCCAAAGAAUAAGCACCGGCUAACUUCGUG